GGCAUUAUAAGCUGUGCCGAAGAUUGGCAUUACAACGACCGCAAAUUUAAGUUACAGCAGACACGAAACGCGCCAAACGUUCAGUGAAAUGAACAGGAUGCCGCUACACUCACAUACAAGCGAGCGCCGUCCGCUCCGUUGUCUUUUUUAGGAGACAUAGACAGAUGAAAAGAGCGUUAAAUGUGUGAAGCCGCCAACUGAGAAAUGAAAUCUUUACCACUGUCCAAACACGAAAUGCUUCCACCAUCACACCAAUAACAUCACUGGCACCUCUGACAUUUAUUUCUGUAAUUCAUUGCUUGUUUUCAUUUUUUUUUCAUUUUUGCUUGUGCCUCUAAGUGCCUUUUUCUAACAUGGCGGCAGCGAGCAGGCAUCAGCCACACCGGAGCGCGGCCAUCCACGGUGCUAUCAUCUCUCCUCCUCGGCCCAAUCGAGAUAGCUCGAGUUGCACGCUGGGAAGAUUUUAAGCGGGAGCGGGAGGCUCGGAGCCGGCGGGAGUGGUUAGCGCGCUGUCGUCCUGUCGUUGUUGUCGUUCUGAGACGGCCAUUAUAUUUGACUUGUUUGGAUACCAUCCGAUCACCAUUGUGUGCUGCCACCACUUGUAGCCUGCAGUAGUUAUUACCGCUUCUACUGGGAACUUGCGCCAUCCGCUGCACCCUCAUGCCUUUGUGCAGCAGAGACCUUUUCGGUGUGUUGCGCGGUCGCUGCAACGAGCCGGGUUGUGAGUGCAAGCGAUACACCAUUCUGCGCCUGUCGGAAAGUGACAACCUGGUGAGGUGUGACUAUUGUGACCACGUCCCAAAUGCACACGGAAAAAUAUGUGAUCUCGAAACGAAAAAUGCAGCCGAGGCAAAGGUGCAAUGCAAUGUGCCAGGCACCGCUGUUCGAGGCCUCAGUGUCACAUGAAACUGUGGAAGCUUGCACAUCUAGUCUCCUCAGUGCAAUAUGAGAGGACUGUCCCAGUUGGUGCCUCCAUAGAAAAUGAAUCGGCCUGAAUGCCUGUGCAAGAAUCACAACCUGGCUGCUCUAAAGACUCCGCACCGUAGUCCCAUGUGCAAGAGCCCCCACUUGACAGCCCAGUGGUUGCCAUGGACAAAGAGAUCCGCGAUACUGAAUGCGGCCAAGCAGUACAAGUUUUUACAUGGACAGUUAACACGAAGUUAUUGACGACAUGCAUGGCUGAAACACGGUGAUAUGAUUUUAAAAAUUCCUGUGUUAUGAUGCAAGUGAUAGUAUUCUGUUGAAUUUUCAGAUCUAGUCAUGUGCCAGCAAGGCCUGCUGUACUUCUGGUGUAUUCUAUGUUGUAUUUUCAAAUAAAGAUGUUGCAUUCUGAAGUUAACCUUAUACUGCCUGUGGAACUGUCAAUUUAUACUCAGAUUAUUUAUACAAGCUAACGGCGCCUCCUCCUCAGGCGUUCAAAUUGUGUUUUGAACUGUAUUUUUGAGAACAUUACCGUUACAUAUUUGCUCAAAAGGUGCCGCACGGGGAGUUUCAUUUCGUCAGAAAUCCCAAGGGAUACAGUAUAGUAGUAUCAUGGUAGCCCUUCGUUGGCUGAAAUACAACGAUUUAAGUGAUUUAAAUGAAAGUAAACUUUUGACACCACAUUCAGUUGAGCGUUCCUUUUUUUUUUCAGAGAAUUUCAUGUGGGCCCCGCUCUUUACAUGGUCCGACGAGCCCGGUGCGGCCUAGCAACGGGGAGGCGCCACCUUGGGUUUUGUUCCAGAAAGGCCAAAUCUCCGCAUGGUGCACCGAGUCGGCUGCCGCCAAACAACAGAGGUUCAGAGAGACACAGCGACACCCUUUGUUCCGAAAACCGCACGAGGUGGACACGUGAACUAUUUCGAAGCGCAAGCGCAUGUAAAGGCAGCGUCCGGAAAGGACUGGCCGAGGGGCUUCCUCCGCGAAGGCUCACAUUUCUCCGCGCCCGGUUGUAGACUGCUUAAUCCGGCCGCGGAAAGAAGCGCGCAAGAAAGAGGCGCAAGCAGAAAGAAGCGCGAAAGAAGGAAGAGACGCACCUUUGUUCCUAGGCGACAACUGCCUUGGCGGAGCAUGCGCAGAGCAACGGGCUUUUAUGAAACAUACCGCAGAAAGAAGAGCCGCGUCCCCGUUGCUAGGCGACACCGGCUCUAUAUACGGAGCAUGCGCAGCACGGUGUCCAUCUGGGACCUCCUGCAAGCCGCAUUGUGUGAACAUUUUAAUCGUUCAACCGGUAUAUUGUAAAAGUAACCUUUAUAUUUAGGCAAAGACACUCAAUACUGUAUGCCUAUACUAGAGGUUAAAGUGUUGUAACCUCUAGUUGAGGUGCACGCUUUCUUACCUUUAAUAGAAGUUAAAUUUGUAAAGGUUGAUUUGUAACUUAUAAGUUAAAGGUGCACAAAUCUGUGAGAAUGUACCCCUUUAGUAAA